GACGAACGCUAGCGGCGUGCUUAACACAUGCAAGUCGAACGGUAAGGCCCUUCGGGGUACACGAGUGGCGAACGGGUGAGUAACACGUGGGUGAUCUGCCCUGCACUUCGGGAUAAGCCUGGGAAACUGGGUCUAAUACCGGAUAGGACCACUGCCUGCAUGGGUGGUGGUGGAAAGCUUUUGCGGUGUGGGAUGGGCCCGCGGCCUAUCAGCUUGUUGGUGGGGUGAUGGCCUACCAAGGCGACGACGGGUAGCCGGCCUGAGAGGGUGACCGGCCACACGGGGACUGAGAUACGGCCCAGACUCCUACGGGAGGCAGCAGUGGGGAAUAUUGCACAAUGGGCGCAAGCCUGAUGCAGCGACGCCGCGUGAGGGAUGACGGCCUUCGGGUUGUAAACCUCUUUCAGCACCGACGAAGCGCAAGUGACGGUAGGUGCAGAAGAAGGACCGGCUAACUACGUGCCAGCCGCCGCCGUAA
rnacentral:rRNA from 1 species